GGUGGGAGAGAGUACAUUUGCAAACCAGGAUGAGUUUUCAUCAGUAUAUAGUGUGUUAGAGCGCCUCUGGUGGAGACAUAACCUAACAAAAAACGUUCAGCGUUGAAAUCGUCCCCGCUGACAUGGGGCCAGUUGUUUUGCGCCGAGAGCUCACAGAGACGCCAUGAAAACUGACCGGAGACCAGCUCAAGCAACGGCAGCAACUGUGCAUCUUCCCUACCGGCAACGUGGCAAGACUUAACACAAAGUUGUACUUUUUUCUCACGCGUAAACUACAAUCCGAGGGCACCGUCAGUCAUGUGGAAAUGACUCAGAAAAUGUUCAUAGGAUCUUUGUCGUUGUUGUUGUUCGAAUGAGCCUGAGGAUGGACGUGAUUUCCUCUUCUCCAGGUUCGCAUCUGUCAGACUCCUCGGGGCGUGCUCCACUGUUUACGGUCAGCUCACUGAGAACUCACAGGCGGGGAUAUACAGUGCAAACAUAACGGACAUGACGGGUUAUGCACAUUCAGAAUCUGAAUUGUGUCCACUUUUUUGUUCUCUCUCUGGGACAUUUUUACUCUUUCAUUAGCACCGCUUCCUGUGCAGUAACAACAGUUCAGGUAUUUUGUGAACUUUAUCCUCUUGUUAUCACGCUCACUUGUUAUCAGCUCAUGUUGUGACUUUUCUGUGAAAUGAUGUGGCAGCUGUGGACGUACUUUGACUGCGUCUGGCGUGUGUGAGCUGGAAGAGCCUAAACACAAACUGAACACAUUCAUUUGUACGGAUUUUACUUCGGAAUAAGAAAUAGGCCUUGCAAAGUUCCUUCUUCCAUUUACUCGUCAUAAGUGUUAAAAGUAGGCUGAUCUUGUGUGACGGGGCCAUCAUGGAUCACGGAGGUCACGCCCGGCAAGACUCUGGCCGUCAGCCCCACAGAAAGAAAGACAGAGAGGAGUGCUACAGGCAUUUUCAGCAGGACAGGGACCAGAGCUACCUACCACCGAACCACAGAGAGAGGGACAGGUAUUGGGCUCAUGCUGAUGCCUACUACCAGACUCAUUUCAACAGUCCUCCUGCCAGACCGGACCGGUAUUCUUACAGCACGCAGCAGUAUGCUUAUGGCCAUGGUCGCCCAGAACACGGAAGACCCCAGUCCAGGCAUGGUUAUGACUAUCCAGCACACUGGGACUACAGAGACAGCUAUGGAUAUUAUGACUACUACAGAGGACAGCAUGAACGACAGGAUACUAAUCAGUGGGGUCCGCAAGAGGCCUGGAGGAUGGAGCGCCACCCAGACACAGCAUACAAGCAGGAACAUUCAGGGAGCUCCUACACUGAGGAGUACAGGUGUGACCAAGCGAGGGAGAGCUCCCAGCAUUACCUCAAUGACUACGAGGAUAAUCCCUCCAGAGACAACGAAGAGGUUUCCUCUUAUUAUGUGGGGACACUAGAAAGUUCCAAAAACUCAGGGUUGUCCUCCAGCAGCUAUGAGCUCAGUCAGUACAUUAACGGAGCUGAACACAGUGAGCCUGUUCACAGUGCUGUUGCAGAGCACAGCACUUUGCAUCAGGUGUCAGAUCCUCUGAAGUACUCAGUCCCUCAUGCAGUUGUCAGCUUUGGGCCUGCAGGCCAGCUGAUACGAGUCACUCCAGGACUGUCCACACAGGACAAUGUCAGCCAGCUGGAAAUCCACAGUCUGGAGGUCAUAAUGAGUGACACCCAGGAGCAGCAGGAGAUGAGGACAUUCCCAGGACCUUUAACCAGGGAAGACUUGCACAAAGUAGAUGCUAUAGAGUUUGCCCACCAGAGGGCAGGAGCCUGCAUGAGGGGUGACCACAAGCUCCACGAUAGGACUUCUGCUGCCCUCUUGUGGAAUCUACUGAUACUGCUCUGCAGACAGAAUGGACAAAUUGUUGGCUCGGAUAUUGCAGAGCUGCUGAUGCAGGGCUCACAUUCCGAUGGAAGCUUGGAGUCAGAUGCUCCCACACUCAUCGACUUCAGCGAGAGCACGACUGCUGAAGCGCCACCUCGCAAAGGAGAUGACCUUCUCACAGGAAACUCGAGCAGCUUCAGCUCUGAGACCUCUGAGAAGGCCCUGCAGAGCUACACCCAACUGUUGUUGGCUGGCAGAAAGAAGGAGGCCUUGGAGUCAGCUAUGGGCAACGGCCUGUGGGGGCAUGCACUUUUUCUGGCCAGCAAAAUGGACAACAGGUCCUAUACCACUGUGCUGAACAGGUUUACAAGCCAGCUAAUGGCCAGUGAUCCCCUCCAGACUAUCUUUCAGUUGCUGUCUGGCAGAAUCCCUGCUGUAGUGACGUGCUGUGGAAAUGAAAAAUGGGGGGACUGGAGACCCCAUCUGGCCGUUAUGCUCUCCAAUGAGACAGGAGAUCCUGCUGUCCAACACAAGGCCAUCGUCACCAUGGGAGAUACUCUUGCCUCCAAAGGCCUCUUACAUGCUGCCCACGUGUGCUACCUGACGGCCAGUGUUCCCUUUGGGGUGUUCACACAGAAGUCAGAGAGGCUGGUGCUUCUUGGCAGCAGCCACAGGCAACCCUUUCAAAAUUUUGCCACAAAUGCUGCCAUCCAGUGCACUGAGUUGUAUGAGUACUGCCAGACACUCGGGGGCAAAUUCUUUUCAAUACCAUCCUUUCAGGUGUACAAGUUCCUGUACGCCAGUCGACUGCUGGACUGUGGGCUGGCAUCUCUGGCCUUUCAUUACUGUGAGGUGGUAGGACAGGCAAUCCUCAGACAGAGGGAGCCUUUCUUUGUGCUGACAGGAGAGGUCAUCAAGCUCUCAGACAGGCUGAGACACUCUGAAGGUCAGUUCAGUGAAACGGGGGUUGGCGGAGGCGGGCAGGAGCCAGACUGGCUGAAACAGCUGCGUGUAAAGUACCACAGUUUACAGACGGGGAGUUACGACUGUACUGAAACAUACCAGCCACCUCCUGAGGAAAGUGCGCUGACCUAUGAGGAUAGAAAAGUGUGCUUAGAGUCAGACUUGGAUGCCCUAAGCUGUGGCAACCAGAGUCCAGAGCCUGAGCUCCUUUAUUACAGAGGCGCUGAGGAUCAAGAAAGCCUCGAGCAUCAAUUUGAUGGGAACACUGAAGAAACGACAGCGUUGUCAUGGGACACCACCAGAGCUCAGGACUGGCCACAUGCCAAUUAUCCAAUGCCAGGAACAGUGGUUUACGCUCCCCCAGCGCCUGCGGUGGAUGUGAGCCAAGACUUCAGUUAUCAUAACACAGAUAGUGCUGAAGUCAGAACCGCCAUGCCACAUUGUCCUCCAAGUCAUCUGCCAUCAGCAGCAGAGGGUGAGAAGCCCUAAUGUUAAGACAGCAUUCAUUCCUUUGUCCAUUCAAAGAUUUGCUACGGACUCAGAGGAGUCAGCUUGUGUGUGAUAUUUUAUUUCAUUGUUCAUACAGGGACUGGGUUGUCCUCUGGAGCAGGCACAAUGGGGGGUCAGAUGCUGGAAACUGGCAUCAUUCAGCAGCAGGGCCAAAGCCAGCAUAGCAUUCCGCCAGGAUUAGAGGCCUCGGGGCAGAACAACGAGCCUCCUAAACAGAGCACGAAGGCAGGGUGGUUCAGUGGCUGGUUCAAAUCAAAAGCCAAAGAAGUUCAAAAGGACAAGGAGAGUCCAGAGCAGGGAAGCCCAGCUCAGACAGAACUCCCACCUACUACAGGCUUCUUUCCUCCUCCACCGCCUGCCGUCUCCUCCCCUGGCACAUUUCCGUCCCAGUCUUUCUCUGCAGGGAUCAAUCCCUUUUCAAGGAAAUCAGGCCAGCAGCUGGGGUAGACACCACUAGCCAGUAUUGCAGGAUCAUUGAUGACACUAAAACCAAAGCAAGGACAUAACACCACAUGCUAUUAACAGUGCCUUUUGGUUGUUAAUGAGAGAUUCACCUGAGCUUGGAUGAACACCAAGCACAGCACUGCCCACAUUUCUUUUUUAAGGAUGCCCUUUCAACCCCCCCCUCCCCCGGCUUGCCCACCAACAUGUUGUAUAUUAGAUACAGGAAUACUUCGGGAUGGACUGGCACAGUAACUCAUGUUGCAGCGACUGAAACAGCUGGGGUGUGCUUCCUAAAAGCUGACUACGGGGAACUUACCAAUGGAUGCAGGACAUUUUUGGGGGAAGGGAUAUCUUAAUUGACCCCAAUAACCAUUUGCGUAGGAAGAAUUUGACCUGGAGCUUGAACCAGUAACCAUGACCACUUCAAAACUGUCCUCACACGUGAUGUCAUUACGUCACCCCCAGAUUAUCUUUACCAUCUGUUAAGUGUUUUAGUUUUAAUUAGUUUUAACCAGGGGGAGAAAAGGAAAGAAUGUAUUCUCAUGUUGUCUUGCUGUCAAGAUGGAUGAUACCACAUGGUGAGGGAAGGGAGGGGGAAUGAGUAAGAUCUCUACCAGGCAAACAGCCAACACGCCCUACACCCCCAGCGAGCAGAUUCUUACAAGAUCAAACUGUUUAUCUGCUGAUAAUAUCUGUAAUGCUUUCAUCUGAUAAAGGGCUAUAUUAAUAUUUCUGUUCUAUAAAUGUUUGUGUGACGACAGCUGCCUAGAGGAGGCUCUUUAAAAUUUAUGUGAAACACACAGUAAGAAUCUACUCUUGAAAUACAUCUUUACAAUCUUUUAGACUGACUGUGUCACAUUUUGAUGUAAUUGAGAUUUUUUUUUUUUAACUUGUGUCAUAUGGUUUAUGUAUUAUGUCAGCGCUCUUUUUGUACAUAUGUACCAGCACAAUAAAUGUAUCAAUUACCUG